rnacentral:rRNA from 1 species
UAGGGAAUCUUCCGCAAUGGACGCAAGUCUGACGGAGCAACGCCGCGUGAGUGAAGAAGGAUUUCGGUUCGUAAAACUCUGUUGUUAGAGAAGAACAGCGCAUAGAGUAACUGUUAUGCGUGUGACGGUAUCUAACCAGAAAGCCACGGCUAACUACGUGCCAGCAGCCGCGGUAAUACGUAGGUGGCAAGCGUUAUCCGGAAUUAUUGGGCGUAAAGCGCGCGUAGGCGGUUUUUUAAGUCUGAUGUGAAAGCCCACGGCUCAACCGUGGAGGGUCAUUGGAAACUGGUUGACUUGAGUGCAGAAGGGGAGAGUGGAAUUCCAUGUGUAGCGGUGAAAUGCGUAGAUAUAUGGAGGAACACCGGUGGCGAAAGCGGCUCUCUGGUCUGUAACUGACGCUGAGGCUCGAAAGCGUGGGGAGCGAACAGG